rnacentral:rRNA from 1 species
CGAAGGGGGCUAGCGUUGUUCGGAAUUACUGGGCGUAAAGCGCGCGCAGGCGGUCUUCCAAGUCAGUGGUGAAAGCCUGGAGCUCAACUCCAGAACUGCCAUUGAAACUGUUAGACUUGAGUACGAGAGAGGUGAGUGGAAUUCCCAGUGUAGAGGUGAAAUUCGUAGAUAUUGGGAAGAACACCGGUGGCGAAGGCGGCUCACUGGCUCAUAACUGACGCUCAGGCGCGACAGCGUGGGGAUCAAACAGGAUUAGAUACCCUGGUAGUCCACGCCGUACACGAUGAAUGCUAGCCGUUGGAUAGCUUGCUAUUCAGUGGCGCAGCUAACGCAUUAAGCAUUCCGCCUGGGGAUACGGCCGCAAGGUUG